UUUUGGUAUCGGCUCCUUGUUUGGUCAUAUUAGUGAUAGGAGCGAUAACAGAGGAGUACCCCUUAAUAAAACGUCUGUAAUAAUUAGAAAAUCCAAGAAAUCUUUGUAUGGCUUUGAGUCCCUUAGGUAAAGGCCAAUCUAAAAUCGAUUUUAGUUUGGUCGGGUCCAUCAUAAACCCGUCUUUGGAAAUUACGUAACCUAAGAAAGUUACCUGAGACUGGUCAAAGCUACAUUUUUCC